rnacentral:rRNA from 2 species
UAGGGAAUCUUCCACAAUGGACGCAAGUCUGAUGGAGCAACGCCGCGUGAGUGAAGAAGGUUUUCGGAUCGUAAAGCUCUGUUGUUGGUGAAGAAGGAUAGAGGCAGUAACUGGUCUUUAUUUGACGGUAAACAACCAGAAAGUCACGGCUAACUACGUGCCAGCAGCCGCGGUAAUACGUAGGUGGCAAGCGUUGUCCGGAUUUAUUGGGCGUAAAGCGAGCGCAGGCGGAAUGAUAAGUCUGAUGUGAAAGCCCACGGCUCAACCGUGGAACUGCAUCGGAAACUGUCAUUCUUGAGUGCAGAAGAGGAGAGUGGAAUUCCAUGUGUAGCGGUGGAAUGCGUAGAUAUAUGGAAGAACACCAGUGGCGAAGGCGGCUCUCUGGUCUGCAACUGACGCUGAGGCUCGAAAGCAUGGGUAGCGAACAGG